rnacentral:rRNA from 1 species
AGUAUCCUACGGAGGCAGCAGUGGGGAAUAUUGCACAAUGGGGGAAACCCUGAUGCAGCGACGCCGCGUGAGUGAAGAAGUAUUUCGGUAUGUAAAGCUCUAUCAGCAGGGAAGAAAAAAGACGGUACAUGACUAAGAAGCCCCGGCUAACUACGUGCCAGCAGCCGCGGUAAUACGUAGGGGGCAAGCGUUAUCCGGAUUUAUUGGGUUUAAAGGGUGCGCAGGCGGUCUGUUAAGUCAGCGGUCAAAGCCCGGGGCUCAACCCCGGCCCGCCGUUGAAACUGGCAGUC